UACGUAGGGGGCAAGCGUUGUCCGGAUUUAUUGGGCGUAAAGAGCGUGUAGGCGGCCAUGUAGGUCCGUUGUGAAAACUCGAGGCUCAACCUCGAGACGCCGAUGGAAACCAUGUGGCUAGAGUCCGGAAGAGGAGAGUGGAAUUCCUGGUGUAGCGGUGAAAUGCGCAGAUAUCGGGAAGAACACCCGUGGCGAAGGCGGCUCUCUGGGACGGUACUGACGCUGAGACGCGAAAGCGUGGGGAGCGAACAGG
rnacentral:rRNA from 1 species